GGCGCAGUGGUUCACGCCUGUAAUCCCAGCACUUUUGGGAGGCUGAGGUGGGCAGGUCAUUUGAGCUCAGGAGUUUGAGAAAUGUGUUAAAUCAUAUUUGUUGUUCUCACCAUCCAUAUGAUUUAUGUCUUCAAUACCAGUUUUCUGUGAGUUAUUGAUAGGUAUUGAUUUUCUAUAAUGUUCCUUUGGCAAUGUUUGAUAUUAUAGUCUCUUGUGCCAGAUUAUGCUAAGUUUCACAAAAAGCAGAAGUCCUCACAAACUCUUACAUCACCUAACAAGGCACUUUUAUGUUUGUGCUGUCCAUAUAAAUUAGUUGGGCGCAGUAGCUCAUGCCUGUAAUUCCAGCAACUUGGAAGGCUGAGGCCAGAGAAUUGCUUGAGCCCCAGGGUUUAAGGCUGCAAUGAGCUAUGAUUGUGCCAUUGCACUCCAGCCUGGCAAGACCCCAUCUCUAAAAAAAUUAAUGAUAAUAAAUAAAAACUAAAAAUAAAUUAUAUAUCUAAAGUCCUAUUUUAGCAUAAUUCUCAAUUAUUUUUACAGAUUAUUCAUGCCAAAUUUUAAGGUUUUUUCCUUCGCACUGCUCAUGCAACUUUAUGCUUUUGCUGUCUCAGCUAGGAUAUGGUAUUGAAAUGCAAAUAAGAACUGGUAUUUCUCUCCUUUGAAGAGUAGUUUGGUUGGUUUCCUGGGCAAGGUCUCACCAUCACUCGCUGCUUCUCUUGGCUAGGGGUGGUGGUUCCUUUGGCUCCGUGUAGCUGCUUGGUGGGCCAUCUCCACUCCCUGCUCUUCAGGGAACUUUUCUCUGUUACCAAGGAGGUUGAGGAUUUCUUAAGCAACACAAGAAGGAAAAGACUGAUGAAUUUGAGUACAUCAAAAUGUAAAACAUCUUUAUGUCUUAAAGUAAAAAUUUAAGUAACUGUCUGGGAGUAGAUAUCUGCAAUAUAUAGGCAUACCUCAGAGAUGUUGCAGGUUCUGUUCCAGACCACCACAAUGAAGGGAAUAUUGCAGCAAAGCAAGUCAUAGGAAUUUUGUGGUUUCCCAGUGCAUAUAAAAGUUAU
rnacentral:lncRNA from 1 species